rnacentral:rRNA from 1 species
CUUGCUUCUCUUGAGAGCGGCGGACGGGUGAGUAAUGCCUAGGAAUCUGCCUGGUAGUGGGGGAUAACGUUCGGAAACGGACGCUAAUACCGCAUACGUCCUACGGGAGAAAGCAGGGGACCUUCGGGCCUUGCGCUAUCAGAUGAGCCUAGGUCGGAUUAGCUAGUUGGUGGGGUAAUGGCUCACCAAGGCGACGAUCCGUAACUGGUCUGAGAGGAUGAUCAGUCACACUGGAACUGAGACACGGUCCAGACUCCUACGGGAGGCAGCAGUGGGGAAUAUUGGACAAUGGGCGAAAGCCUGAUCCAGCCAUGCCGCGUGUGUGAAGAAGGUCUUCGGAUUGUAAAGCACUUUAAGUUGGGAGGAAGGGUUGUAGAUUAAUACUCUGCAAUUUUGACGUUACCGACAGAAUAAGCACCGGCUAACUCUGUGCCAGCAGCCGCGGUAAUACAGAGGGUGCAAGCGUUAAUCGGAAUUACUGGGCGUAAAGCGCGCGUAGGUGGUUUGUUAAGUUGGAUGUGAAAUCCCCGGGCUCAACCUGGGAACUGCAUUC